rnacentral:rRNA from 1 species
CCUACGGGAGGCAGCAGUGGGGAAUAUUGGGCAAUGGGCGCAAGCCUGACCCAGCAACGCCGCGUGAAGGAAGAAGGCUUUCGGGUUGUAAACUUCUUUUCUCAGGGACGAAGCAAGUGACGGUACCUGAGGAAUAAGCCACGGCUAACUACGUGCCAGCAGCCGCGGUAAUACGUAGGUGGCAAGCGUUAUCCGGCUUUACUGGGGGUAAAGGGCGGGUAGGCGGGAAAGCAAGUCAGAUGUGAAAACCAUGGGCUCAACCUGUGGCCUGCAUUUGAAACUGUUUUUCUUGAGUACUGGAGAGGCAGACGGAAUUCCUAGUGUAGCGGUGAAAUGCGUAGAUAUUAGGAGGAACACCAGUGGCGAAGGCGGUCUGCUGGACAGCAACUGACGCUGAGGCGCGAAAGCGUGGGGAGCAAACAGGAUUAGAUACCCGAGUAGUC